AUGUGUUUCAACUAUGCUUCACUGAUUAGCAGCCCUUUGGCCUUGUAUCGCCUUAAUGAGGAGAAAGCGGAUUGGAUCAUAUGUUACUGAUGUUGCCGCAGCAGCAUUUUAAUAUGUUUUUUGAGGCAGCUAAACGUGCAGGUUGGCUCCCAACUGAUGGCGCCUUGAAACCAAAGGUUACCCAUGUUGGUUUUGGUCUUGUUCUUGGAGAAGACGGAAAACGCUUUCGUACUCGCUCUAGUGAGGUGGUCCGAUUGGUUGAUUUGCUAGAUGAAGCCAAGGAUCGUAGCAAAAAGGUUCUUGUUGAACGUGGCUGGACUGAGCAGGAGCUUAAUCAAAUUGCUGAGGCUGUUGGUUAUGGUGCUGUUAAGUAUGCUGAUCUGAAGAACAAUAGAUUAACCAAUUACACGUUUGAUUUUGAUCAAAUGCUAAGUGAUAAGGGAAACACUGCUGUUUACUUACUCUAUGCUCAUGCUCGGAUCUGUUCCAUAAUAAGGAAAUCUGGCAAAAACAUAGAAGAAUUGAAACAAAAGGGGGAAAUCGUGUUGGAUCAUGAUGGUGAGCGUGAAUUGGGGCUUCAUUUGCUACAGUUUUCAGAGAACGUGGAGGAGACCUGCACUAAUCUAUUGCCGAAUGUUUUGUGUGAAUACCUAUACAAUUUAUCAGAGGUCUUCACCAAAAAAUUCUACUCCAAUUGCCAGGUUGUCGGGUCUCCCGAGGAAACGAGCAGGCUCUUGCUCUGUGAAGCAACAGCCAUUGUGAUGAGGAAAUGUUUUAAUCUGCUCGGUAUCGAACCGGUUUACAAGAUAUGAUGGACCAAAAUAGUGUUGUAACCAUUUUAGUUAACGGGGAUAUUUGAAUGCUUGUUUUCCGUUUGCGCUGUAAAAUUGUAAUCAGAUCUUCAGUUGAUAACAUUUUUGGUGAAAAGUGUUAAUGUUAUUUUCUUUAAAUUACA